rnacentral:rRNA from 1 species
UACGUAGGGUGCAAGCGUUGUCCGGAAUUAUUGGGCGUAAAGAGCUCGUAGGCGGUUCGUCGCGUCGGCUGUGAAAACCCGGAGCCCAACUCCGGGCCUGCAGUCGAUACGGGCGGACUUGAGUGUUGCAGGGGAGACUGGAAUUCCUGGUGUAGCGGUGAAAUGCGCAGAUAUCAGGAGGAACACCGGUGGCGAAGGCGGAUCUCUGGGCCAUUACUGACGCUGAGGAGCGAAAGCGUGGGGAGCGAACAGG